CGCCGCCGUGCGAGCUGCCGGCCGCGCUCCCCGGCUCAAGGAACCGCCGUGCGCUGCGCUCCCCGCUCCGCUGCGGAACGCGCCUGCGCUGCAGCUGAAGGCCGGGGCGACGGGAUGGAUACUGCAGACAUCAGCUUGACUUGGAAACAAACUCAAAUCAACUACAACCUGAAGAUAUAAGAACGAGUGAAACACAGAGAUGGACACUGCAAGAGCCCCCGGACAGUUGGUUCCAAUGCAUAACUAUCCUUGCAGAGGAAAAAAGUUUUCCCCAGACCAAGACAGAACCACUCCUGAUUUAACUUAUAUCUCAUCUUCCCAUCACAUACCUGCUCAUUUGUGAAGAACCUGGCUCCACCAUCUUGAAGAUCUCAUAGGCAAUGGAAACUUGCUAUUACAUCACUCUAAAGCUUUCUAGCUUUCUCUUCUCCAGGCUAAGCAAGCCCAGUUCUCUCAGUUGUCUCCUCAGCAGUCAUUCCUGCAGUUUCCUGUCAUUUUGAUGACACUCUGCUGACUUCAGUGUUUAUCAACUUGCAUCAGAAUACUGGACACAGCAUUACACAUGUUGUCCAACAUAUGUAAAGUAAGGAGGAACAGUCACUCUGCUUGAUCUACUGGCUAUGCUCCUAUUCACACAGGCAAGGAUGUCGCUAGCCUUCAUCAGUGCUGGGCAAUGCUGCUAGCCACAUUUAGUCCAUUUUCCCCUUAAGCCCCUUCCAUCAAAGCUGUAACCCAGUAAGCCAACCAGUCCUUGGUCCAUAUCAUUGCAUGGGGUUUGAUCUUGUCCUGGUUGGAUUUUGUCAGCUUCUUGUGAGCCCAUUUCUCCAGCCUGUUCAGGUGUCUCUGAAUGGCAGCUCUGCACUGCCCACCAGCUCCCUCACCCAUCUGCCCCCUGCCACUUGAUAUCAUUCCAGACUUCACAAGGUGCAUUUCCUCUCCUCCUUCUCUGCCUUACUGAUAAGGAUGCUGAACAGCAAGGGUUCAAGAACAAAUCCCCUGAGAAAUCACACACAGUUCCCCCUUCAGAAUCACAGCCUGACUGAAUGAAGCCCUGCUCAGCCAUUUCCACAAAGCAACAGAAAGGAAUAAAAAGAGUGGUGUAACCAACACCAAGCACAGACAUUCAGGGACAGAAAAGAGUUUGUGUCGAAUCUCCCUGACUGACAGGUUCUGAUGUGGGCGAACUUCAGCAGUUCAAAAGGAUUAAUCCAAGAACAAGUUCUACAUAUCCAUAGAAAUGUGUUCAAUUAUAAUGCAAAUACUCCACUCAUUACCGAGUAGAAGCAUGUUACUUCAUGCAUGUUACAUAGACACUUUUUGUCCUUCACCUGUAAGAAUUGCCCCACAAUUUAAGGACCUUGCAAUGCAACACCCUUAUCAUAAAGCCACUCAACACAGCCUACAUCUCAUACAUUAAAAUGGGGGGUAGAGGCAAGGAGUGGGAAGAAGAUAAGUUUUGCUAACAUGAACUCAGUGCUCAGAUGGGUGACAACAGGUCAGCUGAAGCACCAAAAAAAUUCCCCAUUUCUGCAGGAGGCAAAGUUUUGAGACUACCCACAUUUGCUUUUCAGAGAUUUAUCAACCCCACACAUACCCCAAAGAGCUGAAACACUUGAGUUCUCCUAAAGGCAAGUACAUAUACUAUGCUGUGAGAGAGAAUUUCCUGAUUGGGA